rnacentral:rRNA from 1 species
AUUGAACGCUGGCGGAAUGCUUUACACAUGCAAGUCGAACGGCAGCACGGACUUCGGUCUGGUGGCGAGUGUCGAACGGGUGAGUAAUGUAUCGGAACGUGCCCAGUCGUGGGGGAUAACGUAGUGAAAAUUACGCUAAUACCGCAUACGAUCUAUGGAUGAAAGCGGGGGAUCGCAAGACCCCGCGCGAUUGGAGCGGCCGAUAUCAGAUUAGGUAGUUGGUGGGGUAAAGGCCCACCAAGCCAACGAUCUGUAGCGGGUCUGAGAGGACGACCAGCCACACUGGAACUGAGACACGGUCCAGACUCCUACGGGAGGCAGCAGUGGGGAAUUUUGGACAAUGGGCGAAAGCCUGAUCCAGCCAUUCCGCGUGCAGGAUGAAGGCCCUCGGGUUGUAAACUGCUUUUGUACAGAACGAAAAGGUUUCUACUAAUACUAGGAGCUCAUGACGGUACUGUAAGAAUAAGCACCGGCUAACUACGUGCCAGCCGCCGCAGUAA